AGAGUUUGAUCAUGGCUCAGGAUGAACGCUAGCGGGAGGCCUAACACAUGCAAGCCGAGCGGUAUAGAAUCUUCGGAUUUUAGAGAGCGGCGUACGGGUGCGGAACACGUGUGCAACCUACCUUUAUCUGGAGGAUAGCCUUUCGAAAGGAAGAUUUAAUACUCCAUAAUAUAUUGAUUGGCAUCAAUUAAUAUUGAAAGCUCUGGCGGAUAGAGAUGGGCACGCGCAAGAUUAGUUAGUUGGUGAGGUAACGGCUCACCAAGACGAUGAUCUUUAGGGGGCCUGAGAGGGUGAUCCCCCACACUGGUACUGAGACACGGACCAGACUCCUACGGGAGGCAGCAGUGAGGAAUAUUGGACAAUAGGUGCAAGCCUGAUCCAGCCAUCCCGCGUGAAGGACGACUGCCUAUGGGUUGUAAACUUCUUUUGUAUAGGGAUAAACCUCUCCUCGUGAGGAGAGCUGAAGGUACUAUACGAAUAAGCACCGACUAACUCCGUG
rnacentral:rRNA from 1 species